rnacentral:rRNA from 1 species
UACGAAGGGGGCUAGCGUUGCUCGGAAUCACUGGGCGUAAAGGGUGCGUAGGCGGAUCUUUAAGUCAGGGGUGAAAUCCUGGAGCUCAACUCCAGAACUGCCUUUGAUACUGAGGAUCUCGAGUUCGGGAGAGGUGAGUGGAACUGCGAGUGUAGAGGUGAAAAUUCGUAGAUAUUCGCAAGAACACCAGUGGCGAAGGCGGCUCACUGGCCCGAUACUGACGCUGAGGCACGAAAGCGUGGGGAGCAAACAG